rnacentral:rRNA from 1 species
GCUGGAAUUGCUGUAAUGGCAGGUCAGCAUACUGCCGUGAAUACGUUCCCGGGCCUUGUACACACCGCCCGUCACACCAUGAGAGUUGGAAAUACCCGAAGCCUGUGAGCUAACAGUAAUGAGGCAGCAGUCGAAGGUAGAGCCAAUGAUUGGGGUGAAGUCGUAACAAGGUAUC